AUUGAACGCUGGCGGCAGGCCUAACACAUGCAAGUCGAACGGCAGCACGAAAAGACUUGCUUCUUGGCGGUCGCGUGGGGCGGGCGUGUGUAAUGUCCAUGAAACUCCCCUAUGUCGGGGGGUAACUCGUGGAAACGGUAACUAUAACCGCAUAUCCUCUCAACCGCAAAGAGCAGGAGCUUCUGGCCCCUUGCCAGCUGAUUUGCCCCGAUGCCAGGUUGGAUUAGCUGGUGGGUAGGGUAACGGCUUACCAAGGCCACGAUGCAUAGCAGAGCUGAGAGGAUGACCAGCCACACUGGAACUGAGACACGGUCCAGACUCCUACGGGAGGCAGCAGUGGGGAAUAUUGGACAAUGGGCGAAAGCCUGAUGCAGCCAUGCCGCGUGGGUGAAGAAGGCCUUCGGGUUGUAAAGCUCUUUUAGUGGGGAAGAAGAGAGGCAGGUUAAUACCUCUGCGUAUUGACGGUACCCAAAGAAGAAGCACCGGCUAACUUCGUG
rnacentral:rRNA from 1 species